CUCUGUGACUCCUACGGGGAGGCAGCAGUGGGGGAAUAUUGCACAAUGGGCGCAAGCCUGAUGCAGCCAUGCCGCGUGUGUGAAGAAGGCCUUCGGGUUGUAAAGCACUUUCAGUCGUGAGGAAGGUAGUGUAGUUAAUAGCUGCAUUAUUUGACGUUAGCGACAGAAGAAGCACCGGCUAACUCCGUGCCAGCAGCCGCGGUAAUACGGAGGGUGCGAGCGUUAAUCGGAAUUACUGGGCGUAAAGCGCAUGCAGGUGGUUUGUUAAGUCAGAUGUGAAAGCCCGGGGCUCAACCUCGGAAUUGCAUUUGAAACUGGCAGACUAGAGUACUGUAGAGGGGGGUAGGAAUUUCAGGUGUAGCGGUGAAAUGCGUAGAGAUCUGAAGGAAUACCGGUGGCGAAGGCGGCCCCCUCGGACAGAUACUGACACUCAGAUGCGAAAGCGUGGGGAGCAAACAGGAUUAGAUACCCUGGUAG
rnacentral:rRNA from 1 species